rnacentral:rRNA from 1 species
GACAGAGGUGCCGAGCGUUAGGCGGAAUCACUGGGCUUAAAGCGUGUGUAGGCGGGCCGUUAAGUGCCUUGUGAAAUCCCCCGGCUCAACCGGGGAACUGCUGGGCAGACUGGCGGUCUUGAGAGACCUAGGGGCCAUCGGAACAAGUGGUGGAGCGGUGAAAUGCGUAGAGAUCGUAAGGAAGACCAGUGGCGAAGGCGGGUCUCUGGACAGUUCCUGACACUGAGGCACGAAGGCCAGGGGAGCAAACGGG